ACGGAAGGCAGCAGUGGGGAAUAUUGGACAAUGGGCGAAAGCCUGAUCCAGCGACGCCGCGUGAGUGAAGAAGUAUUUCGGUAUGUAAAGCUCUAUCAGCAGGGAAGAUAAUGACGGUACCUGACUAAGAAGCCCCGGCUAACUACGUGCCAGCAGCCGCGGUAAUACGUAGGGGGCAAGCGUUAUCCGGAUUUACUGGGUGUAAAGGGAGCGUAGACGGUAUGGCAAGUCUGAUGUGAAAACCCAGGGCUCAACCCUGGGACUGCAUUGGAAACUGUCAAACUAGAGUGCAGGAGAGGUAAGUGGAAUUCCUAGUGUAGCGGUGAAAUGCGUAGAUAUUAGGAGGAACACCAGUGGCGAAGGCGGCUUACUGGACGAUAACUGACGUUGAGGCUCGAAAGCGUGGGGAGCAAACAGGAUUAGAUACCCUGGUA
rnacentral:rRNA from 1 species